CGAUAAGUAUAUAGUAAAAUUUAUCUGAUCAAAUGUAAACGUAUAGGUAAUUUAUUAUCUACUCUAAAUUCAUUAUAGCAAUCUAACGUUAAAAAAAUCUCGAUGAUUUGAAAAUUCGAUAAAUUGAAUUUACGAGCCAAUUUUUAGAGUUCGGAUGUGAGCUAAAUACACGAGGAAUUUUUUUUUUCGUUUUACAGUCACGUGUAAUUAUUCUGAGUAAAAAAAUAAAGGUGUAACAAACUCCUGAUGCGACCGUGUCGUGUGUUUUAUAGCCCGUAUAUUGCAUUUCACCAUAUUAUAAUGUAUAUGGCAGUGUGCACUGUGCAAGUGAAUGUAUGUGUUGUCUCGGAUGGCAGUAGCAAAGCAAAGAUCUCGCCAGAAUACGUGCAAUGGAUAUAAUAACGGCGUUGUUGACGAGGUUGAUGACGAGGAAGAGGAAGGAGCAAAAAAAAAACAUUUAGUGUAUACGACGUUGCGUACUUAAUAAGUUGUCAAAUUGUAAGUAGUAUAAAAUGAUUUAUAGAUUCAACAUAAUGGCACAUGCAUUUUUCGAAGACGUCUAUUGUGAAUGCGAGAUUAAAAGAAGCUUGGAGUUGGAUGGCACAAUAGAAGAUCAUAAUAUAUAUCGGGGCCAGGCCGUCGGCAGCUAUUAUGUCGACGUCGGUAUCCAAAGAAGCAGCUAUACACUCUCUGUGUGAGUGACUUCUCGGUCGGGAGACAGAGAGAGAAAAAAACGCAUAAUCAUUGUGGUUUCCAUGAAAGAGGAUCAAGAAUGUUCGAGGAACCGAUAGGAAAGCAUUUUAUUGAAAAGCUGUAAGUGUGAAUAGAGGUACAAAAUGAACCUUGGAGGAGAGCAUUAUAAAAUUUCGAAAAAUUCAACAAAAUACUUAACUGUAAAAAAACACUCACGCAUUUAGCGUGAGAAGACCGACUUUUCUUCAAAUAAAAAUCUUUUACGAACGAA